AGGAGAUUGAGGUCGAAGAGGAGGCAAAGUGGGCCCGAUUCUUUUCGUUUGCUUUUUAAAUCGAGAAAAGAGCAAUCCGGCGAAUGAUAUGGCUAAGGCAGCUCCUAGUUGAAGCACAAACAGAUGAUCAAAUGCGUAACAUGUGAAGAUUGAGAAGAAAGAUUUGAUUUGAUGGCAAAGAAUUUCGAUGUGUUGGAGAAAUAUUGAACAUAGGAUGAUUAUAAUGGAUGAGAAGUCGAUCACGAGACUGUGUCUUGGAAUGGAACGAACAUAGCCAGAUGCGUUUCGGUAACAUAUUCUAAUCAAAUCAUUAUAGAUCUUUUAAUUAAUUAGUAUUCAAGGACUGGCUCUUUAAUAUGACUCAGUUCUGUUUUUGUAGGCUGGAUUCCUGUGACUUAUUAAAUUUAAUGUUUUAUAAUAAAAAGAUCCAUGUCACUGAGCCUGAUAUGCUUCGAAGUCAAAAAAAUUUUUUUAAUGAAAACUUGAAAGAGAUAGCCAAUUAUAUAUAGAAAGAAUUUGGCCCAACAAAGAUCACGUUGAAGGGUUUGAUUUUUUUUGUUUUGGAUUUUGGUUUUAAUGGUCUUUUCGGAUGGUCGAUCUUUAAGGUCUAUUGAGUCCGGUAGUCUGAUGACUGAAGCUGAUUGGUUGAUUGAGUUUUUGAAGAUUUAGUUUUUGCAGGCAGAUUCUGAAACCCAAUCUUGCGUCAUAGCGGUUUCCGUGAUGAUUGUGCACAUAUGUGUUCUCUUGGCUUCAGUAGAUUGGGUGCAUUAUUUGAGGUAUGCGUAUCUCCAAUCAUUUGUUUAUUAAUGCGAGGACUAUAGUUUAUCUUCAGAGAUGAAAUCGAUUGUUAAUUCUAAAUCUAGUUAUAAGUCUAUUGGAGGGAGGAAGAAGAUGAAUAAAACAAGUUUAAGUCAAAAAAAAAAGUGAGACAGUCUAUUUUAGGUUUUUGUUUUUGUUUUGUCACUCUGGUUCUGGAACUGAUUCCGUUAAGUCUUUGGCAUGUGUCUCUGGGUUACUUGUUUACCCGUCAGCUUAUGUAUCUGGAUGUAAAUAUAUGCAAUCGCAGGCUUUGGUUCUGA